AAGACAAACGCAAACCCCCCAACCCUAACUCUGCCCGCGUCCGACCCAUCCUCAACCGUCUCUCCGCGUCCAUGGCGGUCCUCCCCAUCCUCCAAUUCGAGGACAAGAUAGCGGAGACCGUGGCGGAGAACCCGGUGGUUGUGAUCAUCGGCGAGACGGGCUCCGGGAAGAGCACGCAGCUCUCCCAGAUCUUGCACCGUCGGGGGUACACCCGUUCCGGUGCGAUCGCCGUCACCCAGCCUCGCCGGGUCGCCGCGGUCACCGUCGCGAGGAGGGUUGCAUUUGAACUAGGUUCUCGACUUGGUGAAGAAGUGGGCUAUGCAAUUCGUUUCGAAGAUCGGACUUCUGAUAAAACCUGCAUUAAGUAUCUAACUGAUGGUUGUCUUCUUCGAGAAAGCCUAUCUAAUCCAGAACUUAACCAGUACUCAGUUAUUAUCUUGGAUGAAGCUCAUGAACGCAGUUUGAACACUGACAUAUUGCUGGGCUUAAUGAAACGCUUAAUCAAUAGACGCUCCUCAAAUUUGAAAGUUCUCAUCACUUCUGCAACCCUUGAUGGUGUCAAAGUAUCUAGAUUUUUCUCCGGAUGCCCUGUAUUAAACGUCCCAGGGAUAUUAUUCCCUGUGGAAAAAUUAUACAGCACUGAACGACCCACAAAUUAUGUCGAAUGCUGUCUGAAGACUGCUCUAGAUGUACAUGUCCGUGAACCGCCUGGAGAUGUCUUGAUUUUUAUGACAGGACAGGAUGACAUUGAUAAAAUGGUGUUUAAGCUGGAGGAGAAGAUUCAAAACCUCGAGGAAGGUUCUUGCAUGGAUGCUAUAGUCUUUCCACUUCAUGGUUCUUUACCACCUGAAUUGCAGAUUCGUGUAUUCAGUCCAGCACCACCAAACUGCAGACGGUUUAUUGUUGCUACCAACAUAGCUGAAACUUCUCUCACUGUUGAUGGUAUCGUGUAUGUCAUUGAUUCUGGUUUUGUGAAGCAGCGCCAAUAUAACCCCUCGACCGGAAUGUAUUCUCUUGAUAUCGUGCAGAUAAGUAGAGUUCAAGCUGAUCAACGAGCUGGGCGAGCCGGAAGGACUCGUCCUGGCAAGUGUUACCGGUUAUAUCCUAGAACUGUUUAUGAUGAGGAGUUUCUUGAUGCAACAAUACCGGAAAUUCAGCGAUCAUCUCUUGCUGGAAGUGUUCUUUACCUGAAGUCGUUAAGUCUUUCUGAUAUUGAUAUCUUGAAGUUUGAUUUUCUGGAUCCACCAUCACGUGAAUCACUAGAAGAUGCUUUAAGGCAAUUAUACCUCAUUGAUGCAAUUGAUGAAAAUGGACAGAUAACUGAGAUUGGAAAAGCUAUGGCUGAGCUUCCAUUGGAACCCUCGCUUGCAAGGACUUUAAUUGAGGCAAAUGAGUUGGGAUGUUUGUCUCAGGCUUUGACAGUCACAUCUAUGCUAUCAGCAGAAGUUGCAAUUCGUCCUGCUCACAGUAAAAACAAAGAGAAGAAGAGAAAACAAUCAUUUUCCAAAUCCAAACUACCAGAUGGUUCUGGGUGGGGUGACCAUAUACAACUGCUUCAAGUAUAUGAAAGUUGGGACCGAGCCGACUAUGAUCCAAAUUGGUGCACUGACAAUGACUUGCAGGUCCGCAGCAUGAUGUUUAGCAAGGAUGUGAGGAAGCAACUAUCUCAGAUAGUACAGAAGAUGGGAAAAGGGUCAUUGGACGUAGAAUCAGGCAUGCGGCAAAAAAAAAGUGAUAAAGACUACAAAAAGCUCAGGAGAGCUUUAUGCAGAGGCUACGGAAAUCAGUUGGCCGAACGGAUGCUGCUUCACAAUGGCUAUCAUACACUUGGUUACAGGUCGCAACUUGUGCAGGUUCAUCCAUCCUCGGUGCUAGAAGCUGAUGAAGAUGGACAGUUGCCAGAUUAUGUUGUUUACCAUGAACUCAUAAAUACCUCUCGGCCUUUUAUGAGAAACGUAUGUGCAGUUGAAAUUUCAUGGGUCCAACCAAUCUCAAAGAAACUGGAGAAGAUGAACAUUGACAAGCUGAGUGGUGGCUCUGGUGCUUCAGAAAAUAAUGAGACCAUCGAGAACAAAACGAUAAAUUCACCUUUGCAAGCGGUAGAUGCCAGUGGUCCACCUGGUUCCAUGGAUAGUAAAAUUCAGGCAGCCCGUGAACGAUAUCUUGCUAGAAAGGCAAAUAGAUAGAUGUUCCAGGGCGAUCUUCGCUAAAAGAUAUCUGUAUAAGUCUUAUCAGCAAAGGUUAUGCCAUUAUGCUGGGAAACCCUCAAGAGAAGUUGCCUCCCAGGCUCACAAGGCUCUUUCAUGAACAUUACUAUGAUGACCCUAAGAAUCAGUCAGAUAAUUUUCCUUUAUAUAUAUAUAUAUAUAUACAGAAGGGGAGCUUCAAACUAACCUAUCAUUCUCAUAUUGACUGGAAACAUUGACAUAGAUUAUUUCUCAGUGCAGUGCUCCUUACAAAGUUUUCCCCAGCAAAUCGAACUGUUUUUUUCUUUUUGUACCAUUAUUUUCUAUGAUUCCGAAAAGUUGCUGCAAUCUUUGGAGGAUUGCCUGUUGAAGAUGAUCGGUAUGAACCCCUUCCACUGCUAUCCUAAUUGAAUUCAAGUUGGUGUUCGGUUUAAACA